GAUGAACGCUAGCUAUAGGCUUAACACAUGCAAGUCGAGGGGCAGCGCAGUGUAGCAAUACAUGGGCGGCGACCGGCGCACGGGUGCGUAACGCGUAUCCAACCUUCCCGUUACUCUUGGAUAGCCUUCCGAAAGGGAGAUUAAUACAAGAUGGUAUUCAAAUUCCGCAUGUUAUUUGAAUUAAAGAUUUAUCGGUAACGGAUGGGGAUGCGUGACAUUAGAUAGUAGGCGGGGUAACGGCCCACCUAGUCUACGAUGUCUAGGGGUUCUGAGAGGAAGGUCCCCCACACUGGAACUGAGACACGGUCCAGACUCCUACGGGAGGCAGCAGUGAGGAAUAUUGGUCAAUGGUCGGAAGACUGAACCAGCCAAGUAGCGUGAAGGAUGAAGGUUCUAUGGAUUGUAAACUUCUUUUAUACGGGAAUAAAACCUCCCACGUGUGGGAGCUUGUAUGUACCGUAUGAAUAAGCAUCGGCUAACUCCGUG
rnacentral:rRNA from 1 species